GUGCGAAGCAUAUCGAACCUGGAAGCGAGUGAGUGCGAAGCAUAUCAAACCUGUACGCUUCUGUUGAUCCUAUUGGGAUGUGUGAAGUAGAAUGAUUAAAUACAAAUUCUGUAACUUGGUCACCUUGAACUUGAUGCGGCCACACAAGAUAGAAAUAGAAUACUCAGAUCUAGUUCCUAAAACAACGUAUACCCAUGUGCAACUAAUAUUCCAUGAAUCAGCAAAAAGGGGUGCACCUUCUUACGUUUCAACAACCCGAAAAAUAAAUAAAUAAAAUAAUAAAAAGGUUCCGAGUUCUCGGUCUUAUUCUCCUGCAUGUCCAACUUUCCCCGCAUUCGUCGUCAUCGUCAUGGUGGUGGAAUUUGUUCUCACAGUCUUAGUCAUAUUCUUCGCAGCAAUAAAGUCAGCGACUCAGUGAUCCUUCAUUCAAGUUUACUAGAACGUACGUAUAUCCGUCGGAGUUAUAUGCAGCCCAUUCAGUCGGAUUGCUCGGUUGGGCACAUUCAGUGAUCGAACACUCGAUUCCAGCACAUCAUCACCGAGGUACCAGUGGUCAUUCUGUCUUGUAUAAUAAUCCUUAAACU
rnacentral:lncRNA from 1 species